rnacentral:rRNA from 1 species
GCAAGUCGAACGGACCGUACACGUAGCUUGCUGCGUGUAUGGUUAGUGGCAGACGGGUGAGUAAUGCAUAGGAAUCUGCCUAGUAGUAUAGGAUAGCCACUAGAAGUGGUGGGUAAUACUGUAUAAUCCCUGCGGGGGAAAGAUUUAUCGCUACAUGAUGAGCCUAUGUUAGAUUAGCUAGUUGGUGGGGUAAUGGCCUACCAAGGCAGUGAUCUAUAGCUGGUCUGAGAGGAUGAUCAGCCACACUGGAACUGAGACACGGUCCAGACUCCUACGGGAGGCAGCAGUGGGGAAUAUUGGACAAUGGGCGCAAGCCUGAUCCAGCUAUGCCGCGUGAGUGAGGAAGGCCUUAGGGUUGUAAAACUCUUUCAGUGGGGAAGAUAAUGACGGUACCUACAGAAGAAGUCCCGGCAAACUC